rnacentral:rRNA from 1 species
GCAUGAACGCUAGCGGCAGGCUUAACACAUGCAAGUCGAGGGGUAUAGGUUUUCGGACCUAGAGACCGGCGCACGGGUGCGUAACGCGUAUGCAAUCUACCUUUCACAGAGGGAUAGCCCAGAGAAAUUUGGAUUAAUACCUCAUAGUAUAGCAGUUUCGCAUGAAACCACUAUUAAAGUCACAACGGUGAAAGAUGAGCAUGCGUCCCAUUAGCUAGAUGGUAAGGUAACGGCUUACCAUGGCAACGAUGGGUAGGGGUCCUGAGAGGGAGAUCCCCCACACUGGUACUGAGACACGGACCAGACUCCUACGGGAGGCAGCAGUGAGGAAUAUUGGACAAUGGGCGCAAGCCUGAUCCAGCCAUGCCGCGUGCAGGAUGACGGUCCUAUGGAUUGUAAACUGCUUUUGUACAGGAAGAAACACUCCCUCGUGAGGGAGCUUGACGGUACUGUAAGAAUAAGGAUCGGCUAACUCCGUGC